rnacentral:rRNA from 1 species
GCUAAUAACCUAGCUCCACCAAAUAUCAUAUGCAUUCCCCUCCCCUCACUUACCCAAACUAAAACAUUCUCAUAUUUUAGUAAAGGAGAUCGAAAAAUUUUUCCGAAGCAAUAAACUUAGUACCGCAAGGGAAAGGUGAAAUAUUAAUGAAAAACCUUUAAGCAAAAAAAAGUAGAGCCCAACCCUCGUACCUUUUGCAUCAUGGUUCAACUAGUUUAACCAAGCAAAAAGCAUUUAAGUUUGACCCCCCGAAACUAAGCGAGCUACUUCAAGGCAGCUUUAUGAGCCAACCCGUCUCUGUUGCAAAAGAGUGGGAAGACCUUCAAGUAGAGGCGAUAUACCUACCGAGCCUAGUGAUAGCUGGUUACUCAAGAAAAGGAUUUCAGUCCAACCCAAAGUCUUUAUUUUUUAGCAAAAAUAUCUUUUUGACUUUAGAGCAAUUCAAAUAAGGUACAGCCUAUUUGAAAUAGAAUACAAUCUCCAUCGAUGGGUAAAAUUUCUACUUACCUUCUCCAAGUGGGCCUAAGAGCAGCCACCUUUUUAAAAGCGUCACAGCUUAGUCUUAUUAAGUCACUAAAUUCCACACCCUAAUUUUAACCCUCUUAUAGUAUUGAGUAAUUCUAUACUUUUAUAGAAAAUUUUAUGUUGAAACUAGUAACAAGAAGAAAGAACUUCUCUUAAGUGCAAGCAUAAGUCAGAAAGGACAAACCACCGACAACUAACGCCUAUGAACAUAUUUUAGCAACUCCACAAGAAAACCCUAAUCCUACUCACGUUAACCUGACACAAGAGCACUACAAGAAAGAUUAAAAGAAAAAGAAGGAACUCGGCAAAUUUUAACCCCGCCUGUUUACCAAAAACAUCGCCUCUUGAAUAAAAAUAAGAGGUCCAGCCUGCCCAGUGACCAAUGUUCAACGGCCGCGGUAUCCUAACCGUGCGAAGGUAGCGUAAUCACUUGUUCUUUAAAUGGGGACUAGUAUGAACGGCACCACGAGGGUUAUACUGUCUCCUUUCUCUAAUCAGUGAAACUAAUCUCCCCGUGAAGAAGCGGGGAUACAACUAUAAGACGAGAAGACCCUAUGGAGCUUUAAAUUUCUUUUCAGACGCUAAACCUACUAAACAAGUCCUAGACACCUUAACACAAAUUAAGGCGUUAUGAAAAUGAUUUUUAGGUUGGGGUGACCGCGGAGUAUAAAAAAACCUCCACGUUGAAUCAGGUAUCUAAACCUUGAAUCAAGGGCUACAACCCAGCAUACUAAAAAAUUAACAUCAAUUGACCCAAUUAUUAUUUGACCAACGAACCAAGUUACCCUAGGGAUAACAGCGCAAUCCAUUUCAAGAGUCCAUAUCGACAAAUGGGUUUACGACCUCGAUGUUGGAUCAGGGUAUCCCAGUGGUGCAGCCGCUACUAACGGUUCGUUUGUUCAACGAUUAAAACCCU